GACGAACGCUGGCGGCGUGCUUAACACAUGCAAGUCGAACGGAAAGGCCCUGCUUUUGUGGGGUGCUCGAGUGGCGAACGGGUGAGUAACACGUGAGUACCCUGACCUUGACUUUGGGAUAACUUCAGGAAACUGGGGCUAAUACCGGAUAGGAGCCCCUGCUGCAUGGUGGGGGCUGGAAAGUUUCGGCGGUUGGGGAUGGACCCGCGGCUUAUCAGCUUGUUGGUGGGGUAGUGGCUUACCAAGGCUUUGACGGGUAGCCGGCCUGAGAGGGUGACCGGCCACAUUGGGACUGAGAUACGGCCCAGACUCCUACGGGAGGCAGCAGUGGGGAAUAUUGCACAAUGGGCGGAAGCCUGAUGCAGCAACGCCGCGUGCGGGAUGACGGCCUUCGGUUUGUAAACCGCUUUCGCCUGUGACGAAGCGUGAGUGACGGUAAUGGGUAAAGAAGCACCGGCGAACUACGUG
rnacentral:rRNA from 1 species